CAGUCGAGCGGUAACAGGUGUAGCAAUACAUGCUGACGAGCGGCGGACGGGUGAGCAAUAUUUGGGAAUCUGCCUAUUAGUGGGGGACAACCCGGGGAAACUCGGGCUAAUACCGCAUACGCACUACGGUGGAAAGCCGGGGACCGCAAGGCCUGGCGCUAAUAGAUGAGCCCAAAUCGGAUUAGCUAGUUGGUGAGGUAACGGCUCACCAAGGCGACGAUCCGUAGCUGGUCUGAGAGGACGACCAGCCACACCGGAACUGAGACACGAUCCGGACUCCUACGGGAGGCAGCAGUGGGGAAUAUUGGACAAUGGGCGAAAGCCUGAUCCAGCGACGCCGCGUGGGUGAAGAAGGCCUGCGGGUUGUAAAGCCCUUUCGGUGGGGAUAAAAAGCCUUGGUUUAACACACCAGGGUCUUGAUCUAACCCAAGAAAGAAGCACCGGCUAACUCUGUGCCAGCAGCCGCG
rnacentral:rRNA from 1 species